rnacentral:rRNA from 1 species
UUAAAGUUGUUGCAGUUAAAAAGCUCGUAGUUGAACCUUGGGCCUGGCUGGCCGGUCCGCCUCACCGCGUGCACUGGUCCGGCCGGGCCUUUCCUUCUGGGGAGCCGCAUGCCCUUCACUGGGUGUGUCGGGGAACCUAGGACUUUUACUUUGAAAAAAUUAGAGUGUUCAAAGCAGGCCUAUGCUCGAAUACUAUUAGCAUGGAAUAAUA